UGGAAUUUUGAUGAAGAUAUUAAACCUGACCAAUCAAAUUCGUUGUUAGUUAAAGAAGGAGUGAGAGAAUCCAAAUCCCAUGAGUGAGAGAAUCCAAGUCCCAUGAGUGAGUGAGUAAGAAAAGAAAAUACUCUGGGUAUAGUUAGCAAUUUGGAACAAUUACUUAACCAAAGCUAUAAGAGACUAGGACUCUCGUGCAAAUACUAAAAGAUAGACAUGCCUCAAGCAUAAUACUUGCCACUCUUCACAAUCAGUACUAAUCAAUUGAGUAAGAGACAUGGUAGUGCUUUCUCUCCAUUUCUUAAUUUAUAUAAAACGACAGAUAGGUUAUAUGACUAUUUUGAAAUCUUACAGGCACCGUGUGACAUUAUGCAAAAUAAUAGGGGCUCAUUUUAAUUUGUCCAAAUUUACACACUAUUUGCGUACUUGAUACCGUUGUUACUAUAGCCAAAAUCACCACCUUCAUUUUUCACUAGAUGUAGAAAAGCAUCUAUGACGUCAACUCAAUUUCUUUUCUUAAAUUUGUACUGACUAGAAUACAGAAAAUAGGAUCCACGUGUUUCAAGAAGAAUUUAAUGCAUUGAUUUUGGUUAUUAAUUAAUUUCAAAUGCAUUUAAUCCAUUAAUUUAUUAACCAUAGGUUUAGCACAAUAGAUAUUUUUUAAGGCAAUACAAUACUUGCAAAUUUGUUUGUCAUGCUUCACUCAUAUCUUAAAUGAAUUGAUUAUUGCAAUGUCCGACAAAUCACAAUUUUUAAAUUCAUUAAAUGAUAUCGUUUUUUUGAAUUUAACACACUUUAGGUACAGUAGUGUACUUAAUAUGGAAGAACACGCAUUAUCAUAUCACUAGAUGAAACAAGCGUACGUCUUUUUUUUCAAAGAAAAAAGAAAUACAAAUAUCCAUAAAACCAAGACUAGCAAAAUUGUGACGUGCUUCAAUUCCAUCCCCAAGUAGGCUUUCUUGAUCUUCACACAGCAAAGGCAUGGGAAUAAGAGUGAGAUCUGAUGCUCAAAAAUGCACCAAAAGGUGCCUUUACAUAUCCAAAAAAAAAAUGGAAUACUAAGUGUCACUACAACUGUAUUGAUGACCAAAUUUGUUCUAAUUGAAGGACUCAUAAUUCUGCUAUUUAGGAAAUGAAAUACAUGUUCAACUGCCAUUGCAAUUGGAGUGAGAUUAGGCGAUAGCUAGUUAAGGAUUGAUCAACGUGGACCAUGUAGUAUAAAUUGCAGUUUUGAAGGAAGUACUCAUACAAAAUCAUUGUCCCUAUGGUUAUUUCAAGAACCAAGGACCAGAUCUUUGGCUACAUCAGAGACAAUAUUAAGCGAAGAUUGGGAAGUUGGAAGAAUAAAUUGCUGAGCUCUGCGGGAAAGGAAGUCAUGCUCAAAGCUGUCACAAUGGCCAUGCCCACCUAUGUUAUGUCUUGUUUCAAACUGCCUAAGAAACUCCUCAAGGACAUUAAUUCAGCAAUGGCUAAUUACUGGUGGGGUGAAACUAAUGGAAAAAACAGGCUACACUGGAUAUCUUGGGGGAGAAUGGCUCAGAACCGACAGGAGGGUGGGUUGGGUUUUAAGGAUUUAGAAGCCUUCAACAAAGCCCUGAUAGGGAAGCAGGUUUGGAGAUUUAUCACUAAGCCAAAUCUCCUAGUCAGUAAAGUCUUGAAAGCCAAGUACUACCCCAAGGAAUCAAUUUUCACCUGUAAAGCUCAGAGUAAUGCAUCUUGGUUUUGGAAAGGAAUAAUGGAUGUCAGAGGGAUAGUGGAAGAAGGAGUAAGGAGAAGAAUUGGGAAUGGGAGAGGCACAAACAUAUGGGAGCAUAAAUGGAUUCCAACCUCUCCAUCCGGCUAUCCUACAACUUCAAGGCCCCCAAACUGUGAAUUUGUAUCUGUUCAGCAGUUGAUCAACCAAAGCAGGUGGAACACUAAUAUAAUUUUCAGAUUGUUCAACAAGACUGAUGCGGAAAAGAUUCUUAGUAUCCCGAUUAGCUUUGCAGGUAGACCAGACUCCAACUUUUGGACAUACAGUGAAGGAGGGGAAUAUACAGUGAGAUCUGGCUACAAGAGGUUUUUGGUGGAGAAAACAAGAAGCAACAAAGGGCAGGAACUUGCUGGAAGUAGCUAUGAGGCUGGCAGUAACCAAAACAGGCAGAUUUGGAAGACACUGUGGAAGCUAAAUAUCAAACACAAAGUUAAGUUGUUCAUCUGGAAGUGUAUCAGUGGAGCGUUACCAGUCAAAGAGGCAAUCCACCGGAGAGCAGCAACAGGAGAUCCAAUAUGCAAGGGAUGUGGAGAAGAGCUAGAAACAAUAGAACACACACUCCUGCAAUGUCCCCUAGCAAAGAAUGUCUGGAAAGUAGCUCCAGUUAAGUGGGAUGGUGCAGAUGAUCAGAGAUACAACUUCACAAAGUGGUGGGGGAGAAUCUCAGAAGCUAAAUCUAGACAAGAGGGAAACAGCCACAUUGGUCUUACCGCGAACAUUUUAUGGCAGAUUUGGAAAGAUAGGAACAAAAGGGAAUUUGAGAAUGCCUGUAACCAUCAACCGUGCAAAGUAAUCCAAAAAGCACAUACAGAAUGGUUGGACAUGGAGG
rnacentral:lncRNA from 1 species